GACGAACGCUGGCGGCGUGCUUAACACAUGCAAGUCGAACGAAGUGGCGAACGGGUGAGUAACGCGUAAUCAACCUGCCCUUCAGAGGGGGACAAAAGUUGGAAACGACUCCUAAUACCCCAAACGGAAGGAGGGGUUUGUGACGGAUAAGCUAGUUGGAGGGGUAACGGCCCACCAAGGCGAUGAUCAGUAGCCGGUCUGGGAGGGUGGACGGCCACAUUGGGAAAGAGGCACGGCCCAGACUCCUACGGGAAGCAGCAGGGGGGAAUCUUCCGCAAUGGACGGAAGUCUGACGGAGCAACGCCGCGUGAGUGAUGACGGCCUUCGGGUUGUAAAGCUAUGUUAAUCGGGACGCGGUACCGGAAUAGAAAGCCACGGCUAACUACGUGCCAGCAGCCGCGGUAAUUC
rnacentral:rRNA from 1 species